rnacentral:rRNA from 1 species
UACGGGGGGGGGCAAGCGUUGUUCGGAAUUACUGGGCGUAAAGGGUUCGUAGGUGGCUGGCUAAGUCAGACGUGAAAUCCCUCAGCUCAACUGGGGAACUGCGUCUGAGACUGGUCAGCUUGAGUGCAGGAGAGGAACGCGGAAUUCCAGGUGUAGCGGUGAAAUGCGUAGAUAUCUGGAGGAACACCGGUGGCGAAGGCGGCGUUCUGGACUGCAACUGACACUGAGGAACGAAAGCCAGGGGAGCAAACGGG